GAUGAAGAACGUAGUGAAAUGCGAUACGUAAUGUGAAUUGCAGAAUUCAGUGAAUCAUCGAAUCUUUGAACGCACAUUGCACUCUCUGGUAUUCCGGAGAGUAUGCUUGUUUGAGUAUCUGUAAACAUCUCAAAUCUCUCGACGCUUGCGUUUGAGAGAAUUGGAUUUGAGCGAUCCCGACUCUUUCAUCAGAAAGAGGAGGGUCGCUUGAAAUGCAGGUGCAGCUGGACAUUCUUCUGAGCUAAAAGCAUAUCUAUUUAGUCCCGUCAAACGGAUUAUUACUUUUGCUUCAGCUAAUAUAAAGGUCGAAUGAACUACCAACGCUGAUUGCAGGAAAACUUGUUCGUAACUGAACUUGUAAACUCGAUCUCAAAUCAAGUAAGACUACCCGCUGAACUUAAGCAUAUCAAUAAGCGGAGGA
rnacentral:misc_RNA from 1 species